GGGAGCACCACACUUCAAUGUGAAGAAGAAGUCCAGCUUUAUCCGAAAGAAGAGGGGCAUCUUCACGGCCUGAUCCAGAAGUCUACAGCAGCUGGUAGCAAGGGAAAAACUUACGAGCUGCAUCCAAAUAAUCACGUUCAUCCAACACACAACCACGACCGGCCCAACAUGUUUCUUCAUCUAGUAGGCCUCCAUUUAUACAAAGCAACACGUCC
rnacentral:lncRNA from 1 species